ACUUUGGGAACAUAUAAAACAAAAAACAAAAUUGGAGCAAUACAGAGAAGAUUAGCAGGGCCCCGGUGUAAAAAUGACACAUAAGUUCCUGAAGCUUUUGUUAUGUUU